rnacentral:lncRNA from 1 species
AAUAGUCAAGCUCCUGCCCCCAUUUUCUGCAGCCUGGUGAUGUGGUACUAAUAACCAAAUGGACAUGCCCCACGGGAGAGACUCAUUGGUGUGGGUAAGAAAAAUAGGUUUUGUAGAUUAUUGGGAAUUGCCUAUUUGCAUAUAGUAUUGACGUGGAUGGCCCACAUGAGUGAUUAGGUCGUCCUUGACUUGCACACACGACCACAUGGCACUUACCUUAUCCUUCGGGGAGCGACUCUGUGUCGACUAUUGUGAGAUGAAAUAAGGUGUCGCCUAGAGUGCUUACGAAAUGGGAUAGAACACCAUGCUGGGCGACCAACGGACUUAAGAGUUGAUUUUUUUAUCUUUUUUUUCUUUCUUUUAUAUUUAUUUUAACAGUUGUCCAUUAUAUUUCAUAGUUUAUGCUCAUAUGUAUCCACCCCUGUAACUGCCCAAUUACCGAGCCACUACAAUCACUAGGAAAAUGCUCGUGCAUUUCUACAUCCAACAUGAAUCCAUUAAUCACAAUUUAGCAAAUGCGUACAGCAAUAAGUGAAGCAUUGUUUGAUAUCAUAGUUGAAUGUCCAUUAUUCCAUAUCAUAGGUUAAUAACCAUGAAUUGCGACCAGAUAUAUAUUACUAUGAUGACCAAAGGCAUGAGAAACACAAAAAUCAAGCACAACAUAAUAUUUCCCAACAACUUCCAAAAAAAAGAGAAACCAACAUCGCAACAUAUGAAUGAAACAAAACUAAGAAGCCUUUGAAUAAACAACAUUUAACAUGAUACUAAUUGGGUAUGCUUAAUUUGCAUGAUACAAUGGUUCACGAGGAAACAAUUUUGUGCUGAGAGAUACAAGUUUGGUCUAUUCAACAAAAAACACCAUAUUUCCUGACUAAGGCAUUUAUCUCAAAUGUCUUGAAAGUAUUUAUCUAGAUAGAUCCAAACAAAUAUACAAGGAUGAGAACUACCAAAUAAUCUUAUAGAUUGUGAUUCUAGCAACAUGAGUAUCAAUUCUACACUUUCCACAUAGGCAAUACAAUUUUAACUAGAGGGUUGUGCUUGUUUCCCGAAACAAGAUCAAGCGGGAGAUUGGUGUUAAUUCUCCUAGGUGUGGAACCUUCUUUCGCUGAACACCAAUCCAAAGCACCAUGCUUGUUGCUUUGAAGAUCACUUGUAGAGUUUGUGUGUCUCGGCACGAUGAGGGACUAGAGGAGUAGGCGGCACUAUUUUUCCGAGAGGCGGGCCUACUACUGGUCGGGUCAUACUCUGUUGUGCAGCACAAUUCUUGAUCUUGUUUGGAAUUGAAAAGGGGUCCCGAGGCAGGAUGUGGCUCAGACAAGGGCUUGAUAAGUUGUAUUAGAGUUUUCUUUGAGGAUCACUUGAAGACCCAGAGCGGCACCGAUUAUAGAGAGCAUGGGAAAUGCUUAAUUUCUUGAAGGCUAUGAUUUGUAUUGUGCUAGAGGAUUUAGAUGUGGUCAUAUGGAGUUGGGCCAUGAAAUUAAAUUGAGAAAUUGAAGGGAAAAAGUUAAGAGAAACUUAGAGUUGUUCUUUAUGGAGGGCGAUAGGCCCAAGUUGCAUCUUUGUUGGUUUUGGGUGAUGAGAAUUGGAGAUUGGGAGGAAAGAGGAUAUGCUACGUCAGAAAAAAAACAUAGAAGAUUUCGAGUUUGGCUAUAUGAGUGCGAACUAUUAUGUUCAGCCUUUAGGUUCCGUUCCGUGCCCAACACUUCUUCUGAAACUGGUUUUGAUUCCGUUUUUGUUGUAUGUGUGGAGUUUUCAGAAUGGAGACUCACGCACCGCUUAUGACCGAUCAACUAGACUCUACUUAUUAUGGCUUUUCCUUGUCUAGCCACCUUAUAUGACCAAAGAUCUAAAUGAUUUAUUGCUUUUUCCAUGCCUUAGGUAAAUCUUUCUUUUUUUCCGAGGCCUACGUUAGUUUCAAAAUGCGCAAGUUUAGUUAGCCGAAAAUGUAAGUUCAAUUUUUUCAAAAAGAAAGUGUAGAGUGGAUUUAGGACGUUUUUACAAAGUGUGAAAUGCAAGUUUUUUUAAAAACAUAUGUACUUAUAUGAAAAAAUAACCUAUUACUGCUUAGUAUUGAAAUGUGUGUGCAAUUGUUAUUGAUUAUUUAGAGCCCAGUGUGGUAUCCAUUGCCUAUCCAACAAUCUAUCCAAACAUCAAAACACUAUUACCGUAACACAAAGUAAGAAAUCAAUGUCUUGUGAACAUAUAUAUACACAUUUGUUUGGUAAGAAAUGUUAUCCUCAACCACGAGGGGAAACGCCUCAUGUAACGAUCUCCAACAAAAACUACAUACUUACGUGAAUAAACAUUGUGACUCAUUAGCAGAGUUAGCUUGUAUUGCAAGUACAAUAUGAUAUCAUACUUCACAUGUACAAGUGUGGUGUGCUUGGAUAAAGCAUAAGUGACCAUUGUAAUUACGUGUGAGAAUAUAUAACAAGAUUUUUAGUUUUGGGUAACCAAGGGAAAGUAAUGCAAUCAACCUCGCAUAUGUAUUCCUCCUCUGGAAUACAUUCAUCCAUCCUCUCGUCCUCCGAUAUGUAUAGAGUAGGCCACAAUAGGUUAAUGGGGGCAAGUUGUUUGUAAUUAGGUAUUGUGUACAAAAUAUUCAAGGUAAUCAUUGGCCUAAGACUAUACCAAAAAUUAGCAAAUGAAGAGCAAAAGGAAGAUAUUUUGUUUAAUUGUGAUGCAAGAGGCCGCUUAACUACACUAUUUAGGUGGGCCAACACGUGUUGGCGGACGAGGUGGUAUAUAUUGUCGGUGUUGGAUUUCCAUUUUAGGCUCACUGGAACUUUAUGGGGUGUUUGUUUUUACGGGCAUGCGCCAUGGGUAGCUAGCGAGUAAAUGUUUGCUUUGUAGAUGUGUCCUUAGUUUCUUCCCAUAUUUCAUGUUGGAUAUGAUUUGUUCUCCUAAAUUGGUUAAGAAAUAUUGGAAAUAGCUAACAAAGAUAAAAAAAACAUCAUGUCAUCGAAGAUCCACCCCCUCCGCUCGCACGAUAUUGCUUUGAAAAAUGGAAAUAAUCCCUUCACGUCAUGGAAGAUCUACAUCCUUCUACACACGCGAUAUCGCAUCAUCUAACCUGGGUCAGUCUUCCCCCUUUCCUCACAGAAUAUCGCGUCGUAAUGCAUGAGAUAUAUCCUGAAGUCCACUUAUUGUAGCACGACAAUAAAUUCUCUAGCCACCCCGCCAUUUGAGACGUACCGGAAGCCUCGCCACCGUCCGAAAUAAAUGACACACGUAAGCAAAGUGAGGGGUGGGUCUUGGGACUUACGAGAGGCCAUGCGAGAGCCGCAAUGCUUGGGUUGUUGACCCCAUUUGUUCUCCACGUGGAUCGCUUCUUGAUGGUCUCACGCUCGAGUUGGUCACCUGCCAUGGCUAAGCCUCGCAUCUGGUGUAAACUAACCUUAGGUUAGUAAAUUUUAGUGUUUCUAUAUUUGUUGUUCCAUUCUGUUUUCAAUUUAUUCCUAAAGGGUAGAAUGCAUUAGGCUAACUAAGGAUAUGAAUACCUUCAACGCAUGGCACCCCGCCAUAUCAAAUAGAAAAGGUCCCUACCCCAUUUUUGUGUAGCCACAUGAUGUGGGAGAAAUCACGAAAUAGACAAGCCCCAUGGGAGAGACUGAUUGGAUUGGUUGAGAAGAAGAUGUUUUGUAGAAUAUUAGGCCUUGCGUAGUUGCAUACAAUGUUGAGGUGAAGAUCCAUAUUGUGCGGAUGUUUCCUUGUCAAACGGGCCAAAUAUCCCUAAAUGGAUCAUCGGACGAUGAAAUCGGUCUUAGGACACUACCGAUUUGGCUAACGGCUUAUCAAAUCCCUAGUAUAUUUAUGUUGGGUUUGAGUUAGAGGAGCAAGAGUCGAGGUGUUUGCGGUUCUAGAGGAUUGCCAAAGAUGCCAUAAGACACUAUAUGACUUGUUCUCACACGUUGCUCGUAUUAAAACUACAAUAGGAAAUCAUACUUCACAUGCACAAAUGUGUGGUUCUAGAGGAUUGCCAAAGAUGCCAUAAGACACUAUAUGACUUGUUCUCACACGUUGCUCGUAUUAAAANAAAUGGAUCAUCGGACGAUGAAAUCGGUCUUAGGACACUACCGAUUUGGCUAACGGCUUAUCAAAUCCCUAGUAUAUUUAUGUUGGGUUUGAGUUAGAGGAGCAAGAGUCGAGGUGUUUGCGGUUCUAGAGGAUUGCCAAAGAUGCCAUAAGACACUAUAUGACUUGUUCUCACACGUUGCUCGUAUUAAAACUACAAUAGGAAAUCAUACUUCACAUGCACAAAUGUGUGGUUCUAGAGGAUUGCCAAAGAUGCCAUAAGACACUAUAUGACUUGUUCUCACACGUUGCUCGUAUUAAAACUACAAUAGGAAAUCAUACUUCACAUGCACAAAUGUGUGGUGUACCUAGAUAAAGCAAUAGAGACAAUUGUAGUUACGUGNCUUGUUCUCACACGUUGCUCGUAUUAAAACUACAAUAGGAAAUCAUACUUCACAUGCACAAAUGUGUGGUGUACCUAGAUAAAGCAAUAGAGACAAUUGUAGUUACGUGUGAGAACAUAUUAAAAAUAAUUUCAGUUUUGUGCAAUCAAGGGAAAGUAAAGUAAUGUCCUUCUCAUAUUUAUGCUCGCACUGAUCACAUUCAUCCAUCCACUCGUCCUUAUAGCUGUAUAGAGUAGGUCACAAUAGGGCCAUGGGAGAGUGUUGUUUGUAAUUAGGCGGUAACUGUGUACAAGACAUACAAGACAAUCAUUGUCCUAGAGCCUAUACCAUCCAUAUGCAAAUAAAGUGCAAAAGGAAGAAAUUUUGUUUAACUCUAAAGCAAGAAGCCUCUUAGCUACACUGUUUAGGCGGGCCAAUAUGUGUGGGAGGACUAGGUUGUAUUUUUGGGGUGAAUUUCCAUUUUAAGCUCAUUGGAACUCGAAUAAACUAAGAAGAAAAAACUAAUUUGCACCUCACAUGGCUGACCCUGGCAUUUGGUAUAUAAACUUCGGUUAGUAAGUUUUGGUGUUCCUGUAUUUCACUUUUGAUUCAGUUUUCGACUUAUACUGAAAGAGUAUCCCGUGUCCGGUUCACCAAGGAUAUGGAUGACUUCCACCCGAGGCAUACCACCCUAUUAAAUAGUCAAGCUCCUGCCCCCAUUUUCGGCGGCUUGGUGAUUGGUACUAAUAACCAAAUGGACAAGCCCACGAGAGAGACUCAUUGGCGUGGGUAAGAAAAAUAGGUUUUGUACAUUAUUGGGCAUUGCCUAUUUGCAUAUAGUAUUGAGGUGGAUGGCCCACAUGAGUGAUUAGGUCAUCCCUGACUUGCACACACGACCAGAUGGCACUC